rnacentral:rRNA from 1 species
GACGAACGCUGGCGGCGUGCCUAAUACAUGCAAGUAGAACGCUGAAGGAGGAGCUUGCUUCUCCGGAUGAGUUGCGAACGGGUGAGUAACGCGUAGGUAACCUGCCUGGUAGCGGGGGAUAACUAUUGGAAACGAUAGCUAAUACCGCAUAAGAGUAGAUGUCGCAUGACAUUUGCUUAAAAGGUGCAACUGCACCACUACCAGAUGGACCUGCGUUGUAUUAGCUAGUUGGUGAGGUAACGGCUCACCAAGGCAACGAUACAUAGCCGACCUGAGAGGGUGAUCGGCCCAACUGGGAAUGAGACCCGGCUCCGAACUCUUAGGGGGGCAGCAGUAGGGAAUCUUCGGCAAUGGACGGAAGUCUGGACGAGCCAAGCCGCGUGAGGGGAGAAGGUUUUCGGAUCGUUAAGCUCCGUUGUAAGGGAAGAACGAGUGUGGGAGUGGACAGUUCACACUGUGACGGUACCUUACCAGAAAGCCACGGCUAACUACGUG